GUGCCCUUUUAAGCUGAUGUCAUGCCGUAAGAGGCUAACCCAGGAGGGCAAAGUAAGUCUCCAUAAAACCCAGAUACAAAAUUAAAAAAUUCGUCUUUGGAUCCUGUCUGGAGGCACAGUG